rnacentral:lncRNA from 1 species
UUCGGCAUAUGUGAAUGUUCCGUUCACGUCGGUUUGUCAUUUAUCAAAACCUACAAAUAUGAAUACACGUUUAGUUUAGCGACUUGAGAACGAGUUUCAACAAAAUUUACCUAAUUCAUUCAAGGUAAUUGUUACUCAUAUAGGAAGUAUUUCUAUUCUGCCAGGUCAUGUCAUAAAUAAUGUCUUACAUGUUCCAGAUUUCAAGUAUAAUCUACUGUACAUAGGUUUUGCAUUCAGUUCCAAUAUGAUGUCUUAUUCACAUCUAUUAAGUGUGUGUUGCAAGGCCUUUAAAUAAAGAGUCCACAAGCCUUUGGUGAAGUUAUAGAGGGUCUCUACAUUUUGGAGCCUAGUAAUCUUAAGUCUAAGGGAAUAUUCAGUAGUAAUGUACUUUCAAUUCAAAAAGGGAGAAAUUCUAUUUCAGAGUCUAUGUCUUUUUCUAGUCCUGUUCAUGUUAAUGUUGUUUCUAAUAUUAAUCUUUGGCAUGUAAGGUUGGGACAUCUCCCAUUUUUAGCAAUGAAACAUUUAGAUUUCCUUCAUUGUGACUCCAAUUCUGAUUUUAUUUGUGAUGUUUGUCCUAAGGCUAGGCAGACAAGGAAACAUUUCCCUUUCAGCACUAUUAAAUCCAUAAUUAUAUUUGAUCUAAUACAUAUAGAUACAUGGGGACCUUACAUGUCCAAUACCUAUAAUGGAUUCAGAUAUUUUGUCACUAUAGUGGAUGACUACAAUAGAGGAACAUGGACAUUUUUGCUGUCUUCUAAGAGCAAUGCAUUUCCUAUGAUAAAAUCAUUCUAAUCGAAGGUUGAAAGACGGUUCAGUACAAAAGUGAAGAUGAUAUGGUCUGACAAUGCUUUAGAGUUGGGGAAAGGGUCACAAGAAGCAACUUUCCUUUCUUCAGAAGAAAUUAUACAUUAGGUGUCUUGUGUAGCAACACCUCAACAAAAUGGGAUUGCUAUGAGGAAACAUAUACACCUUUUAGAAGCUGCUAGAGGUCUAAUGUUUCAAUCCAGGUUACCUAUGUCAUAUUGGGGGUGAAUCUAUUCUGACUGCAACACACAUUAUCAAUAGAUUGCCUUCGUGUUCUUCAAGGAAAAACACCAUUUGAAGUUCUUUUUUAUCACAAACCUAAGUAUGACUAUUUCAGAAAUUUUGGAUAUCUAUGCUAUGCUUCUACUUUGAAGCAAGGUAGAGGUAAGUUUGAUGAGAGGGAAACAACUUGUGUAUUACUUGGUUAUCCUAUUCAAUAAAAGGGUUACAAGCUUCUUGAUCUAUCUACAAGGAAAGUAUAUGUGUCUAGGUAUGUGGAGUUUCAUGAAUCACACUUUCCCUUUACAGAAACAAAAACAUCAUAUCAUCCCAUCUUUCCAACUUAAACCUUUACCACAAAACCAACCUACUCAACCACAUUCCAAGAUACAACACCACAUAUUUCUCUAGAACAUAAUACAUCAGAUAUUUUCUCACCACUGUCAUCAAGUUCCCCUCAUUUUUCUCAUCACUAUUCAGUUUCUCCACCAUCACCAAUUUCAGUCCCUUCUAGUCUAGAGUCUUCUCACACUAGGACAUAUUCUUUUGCACCUAAAGAACCUACAACUUUUAGAAGAUCAGGAAGAUUUUCUACUCAACCAAUCUACCUAAAAGACUUUGUCUGCAACAGUAUUAUGUUAAUUGAUUUUGCAAUAACCUGUUUCACUUAACCAUGUGUCCCUAAUGAGUAAUGUUUUUCAUCUCUCUCACCCAACAAACAACAUGUCAUGCAAUCCCUCUCUACACUGACAGAACCCUCUACUUUCAUCCAAGAUUGUCGACAUCCAAGAUGGGUAGAAGCUAUGUCUGUAGAAAUUAAAGCUCUAGAAGACAACUACAUAUGGGAAGUGGUUGAAUUACCUAAAGGGAAAAGAGAUUUACCUUGUAAAUAGGUACACAAGGUGAAAAACUUAUCAGAUGGCAAAAUUGAGAGGUUGAAAGAAAUGUUGGUGGUCAGGGGGAUGUUCAAAGACAAGGAAUAGAUUACAGUGAAACUUUUUCACCAGUGGUGAAGAUGACAACCAUAAGGUGUCUGCUCACUAUUGCAGCCAAGAAAUAUUGGAAUGUAUCUCAUCUAGAUGUCAACAAUGCAUUCUUGCCUGGAGAUUUGCAAGAGGAAGUAUAUAUGAAAUUUCCAGCAGGUUUAGAUCCUCCUAGUCCUAAGAAUGUUUGUCUCUUGAAGAAGUCUCUCUAUGGUUUAAAGCAAGCGUCUAGGCACUGGUAUGCUAGGCUAGCAGGGGCUCUACGUUUUAAAGAAUAUUCUUCAUCAAUGAAUGACUAUUAUUUGUUUUUUAAACGCACAAGUGGUCUUAUCUCUAACUUGGCUGUUUAUGUUGACGACAUAGUAAUCACAGGAGACGAUUUAGCAGAAAUUCAGGAUAUCAAAGAUUUCUUAAAUUGUGAAUUUAAAGUUAAGAACUUGGGAGGUAUACACUACUUUUUGGGCAUGGAGGUUUUAAGAUAACAAGCAGGUUUCAUUGUGAGUCAAAGAAAGUUCACCUUAGACAUGUUGCAAGAAUUUGAUGUGUCUCAUUUGCCUAAAGUCAGUUCUCCUUUGGAUCCCGCCCUCAAGAUUCAGGUUGAUGAUGGAGAAUACCUGCAAAAUCCAACUUUGUUUCGUCAUCUAGUUGGAAAGCUGAAUUAUUUAAUAAAUACAAGAACAGAUCUUUCAUUUGUUGUACUCACCCUCAGUCAAUUUAUGCAGAAACCAUGUGUGUCACAUCUCUCUGUUGUUUUAGGAGUUCUCAAAUAUCUCAGUUCUGACCCUAGACAAGAAAUCCUCUUAUCAGCAGCGACGUCUUUCUCUUUGCUCGCUUUAUGUGAUGCAUACUGGGCUUCCUGUAGGGAUUCAAGAAGGUAUGUUAGUGGUUUCUUUAUUACUCUAGGAGGAGCUCCCAUCUCCUUGAAAUCAAAGAAACAGAUCUUAAUUUCUUUGUCUUCUGCCGAAGCAGAGUAUAGAUCUAUGCGUAGGGUUACUGUGGAGCUUACCUGGUUGGUACGAAUUCUCGAGGAUCUAUCAGCACCAAUUACUAUACCAAUUAACCUUCACUAUGAUAGCAAGGCAGCUAUUCACAUCGCCUGGAAUCCCCUUUUUCAUGAACGCACAAAACAUGUCGAAAUUGACUGUCAUUUUGCACGUAAACAAUUUCUCUCAGGCCUAAUUUCUCUCUCUUCGUUCCUUCUAUAUCCCAGCUUGCAGACAUCUUCACGAAGCCUCUUUCUAGGAUUUCUCAUCGAGAUAUUUUGGGCAAGUUAGAAGUCACCAAGUUCCCUUCUAACUUGAGAGGGGAUGUUGAGAAGAAAAAGCCACCUCAUAAUUCUGAUUUUCAUGGUGGUUCAUCAAGGGUUAGAGAAGAAGAUGAUAUGAACAAGAAGAAGCAGACUUAAUGACUUCAGACCAAAG